UUUUAGGCUUUUGUUAUUAUUAUUUUUUUUUUUUGAGAGAAAAGUAGUACGUUACCCGUUUCAUUCAGUAAGAAAGUGAAUUAAGCUACAUGGGUGAGACAGCAGGGCCUUGAUGUAUGGCNUUGUUUAAGUUACUUGAACUAAGAUUCAUCCACAGUUUCGCCAAUUGUUUAAUCUUGAAAAUACCGACUGUUGGGUCAGUCUGACUUGUCCGGAAGAUCGUUCUAUUCCUGAAUUCUCAAAUGACACACCAGUAGGCUAUCAGUCUUAUAAGACCAGUUGAGGUCGAUAUUGUUCUCUUUCUGCCUGCCCAUUUAUCCCAUACGGAACACAUGUUAUCUCCC
rnacentral:lncRNA from 1 species